rnacentral:rRNA from 1 species
UACGUAGGGACCAAGCGUUGUUCGGAUUUACUGGGCGUAAAGGGCGCGUAGGCGGCGUGGUAAGUCAGCUGUGAAAUCUCCGAGCUUAACUCGGAACGGUCAGCUGAUACUGCUGUGCUAGAGUGCAGAAGGGGCAAUCGGAAUUCUUGGAUGUAGCGGUGAAAUGCGUAGAUAUCAAGGAGGAACACCUGAGGUGAAGACGGGUUGCUGGGCUGACACUGACGCUGGAGGCGCGAAAGCUAGGGUAGCAAACGGG